UCACGGUAAGGUUACAGGGUAGCUUACAAUAGAAAAAAAAAACAAGUCAAGUGCAAAUUCCACUAUAGUCUUAUAGUCCAGGGAUGGGGAAUGGGAGCCCCCACCCUUGUUUUUGGAGUUAGCAUAACUAAUAGCCUGGGGUGAUGGGAGUUGUAGUCCAGCAGCAUCUGAAGGGCCACAACUUCCCCAUCCCAGUUUUGUUCCUUGCAGGUCCAGCAGCUUUAAAUUCCCCCAUCAACCCUGAUAUAGACCUAUGCAGAUUGUAGGGAGCAGAGAAUUUUUAUUAAACACAGACUACUCAAGUUUUCCAUGGCAAGAAAUAUCGGUUGCAGUCAGUUAGCAGACAGUAGGGGUCUGGAGAGAGAUGUACAUUUUCUCAUACAUCCAUAUUUACUUGGAAGCAAGCCCCACUUGGUUCAGUGGGACUUAAUACUCUUUGGGAAACGUGCAUGAGGGCAAAGUUACUUCUCGAGCCCAGAUGGAAGAAACGAUACAAUACAAACACCCCGGGGUUGUUGUUGUUUGGGGUCGUCAUCCUUCUCCCUAUAAAAGGAAGGUUGUUUGUAACGUCCCCACCCCAAUCUGGGGGAAAAUGGCGAGCAAAUUUCGUCUGAUCCCUUUCUUACCCACGGGUGGGGGUUGAAAUUGUGCUUUUAGUUUCUAUUUGUAUCUUUUUGGCCGCCUAACUUGGCUUCUUGUUUCACAUUUGGCAGGGCUGCCAAGUACAUCUGCCUCGACUUUCUACGACGGGAAGAUCCCGGCAAGCCUGAAUCAUGUACAACUGGGCGUGCACUCGGUGGUUUUCCACGCCUCGGCUGCGUGAACACCACCCUCGGCCAAACUGGACACGCCGGUCCCGCGUGCUCCCCAAAGCUGCACACACGCGGCGCGCCGUCUGGAAGCCCCGUCGGAAGGACAAAAAAGGAGACGGGAGCAGUACGAAGCUGACACGGAUCGGCGCGCGACGCCGCGAGGGGUAAAGGAGGACACUCGAGCACGAGCGCGCGCGCCCUAGAGCCUCGCGCGCGGCCUCCCGGAGCCGACUCCCGCUCAAGUCCGAGAGCUAGCCGCCUGCCCGGAAUCACCCCACAGCCUCACCUCCAGCCUCAGCCAAUCGGCUCUCGUCCUGCCUGUCAUACUCCGUCCUCAUAUGCUAAUAAGCAAGGCUCGGCGAGGCCCAAUCAGAAACAACGCUCGCAUUCUCUUUCUGCUCCAGCGCCCGUGGCAACAAAGGAGUGGCAGCUGAAAGAGCAGCAUGAGGGUCUCGUGGCGGGGAGGGGAAGGGAAUGGUAGCUGAGUGUGUUGCCCUGGCAACCUAUAAACCACAAUAAGCCAAGGCACCGGGACAUAAUGGGCCCUUAUUUCCCGCACACUCUUACCGCGCUUCCUCUGUAAGAAAGGAACGGAAUAAACCUCUUAUAUUA
rnacentral:lncRNA from 1 species